GGGCCUGGCGGGCAGCGCUGGGUGCGGCAGCGCCGCCGCCGCCGCGUGUUCCUGUUUUUGUCCCUAAAUAGCUGACCUUGGGAGAGCCGCGGCCCCGCUGCGAGCUCCGCGCUGCCGCCCGCGCCGCCUUAUCUGCCGUUUGUUUAGCUGGGUGGGAAGCCGAGCCCCGCCUGCCCGGCCCGCCAGAAACUUCGGGGUUUUUCCACCAGCCCCGCUGGAUUUUCCCAGGCUCCUCGUAGCAAAGUGUCUCGAGGCACGGGGUAAUGCCCCGCUUUUAAAAUUGGUGUCUCCGGGGUGCGUUAGGGAGCGCGGUGCCGCGAACGCGAUCGGAGCUGGCUCCCAGCUACACCCAGAAUGCCGCAAGUUUAUGUGAAAAUGAAGUAAUCGUAGGUUCAGUGUAAAUUCCUGUCUUAAACCCCCCGCUUCAUGCUUUGAGUCUGAGUCACUUCAGCCAGACUACAGCUACCAUUGACAUACAGGCUAUGGAUGAGAUCCAGGAAAACAAGAUAUUUUGGGACUGCUGAAGGGCAUCUCAAGUUUGUAUUGCUUACUGACACUGCUGUGGCUGGGGUGCCUAAACCAGCUACCACAAUGAGGCAGCUCAUGGAAAAACUUUGCCAGAGUUUAAGUGAUCUGGCCAGCUCAAGGCUGCAGUUAUGAAGACAGCACAAGGGAAUAACAGUGAGUCCAGGGAAAUUCCAGUGUGUAAGGUAGGUAAACAAAAGCCAAAGAAUAUUAAAUCUGAUUUAUUUUGUUUAUCUGUUAGGACUUUUAUAAUUUGACUGUGCACAAGCUUUGCCUAGGUCUUCUUUUAUAGCAUCCAAAUAACUCACUAGUAUCAGUGCAUUUCCCAGGUGGGAAAGGAACAUUAUCUUCAGUUUAUGGAAGCGAAACUGAGAUGCAGGUUGGGUAAACUAGCUCCCCAAGGCUGCCUAUGAAAACUUGGGCUGGAACUUGGACUAUCAUCCCACUUGCUGCAAAAACUACUGAGCCAUCAUUCAUCAGUCUGAAUUUUCAGAGUAUUUUCCAAACAAAAGAAACGAAUGCAAACCUUGCUCUGUGAUGACCAAGAGAUAUUGUCUUCUUAGGCAACAGAUACUUGGUGGCCAUAGCAUACCAGUUUUUGUUGAGUAAAUUUCCAUGUAUAAUCACUGAGAAACUCUCUGUAGCAGAUCUGUGGAAUAUUAUAGUCCAGGAUCAAAACCAAACCUACUGCCAUUUGAAAGCGUCAUAUUAAGCAUUAGGCUUAUGUUUGUUAUGUGUUACCUAAAAUAUUAAUGAAGUAUUUAAUAGCUGUUAAACUAAAGCUAACAGGAGCAGUGAAGAAGAUACCCGGAUGUAUUACCCAGAAGAGCAAGGAGGAAAAUACUUCACGGAGAAAUAUUUCAGUAAGAGCCUAGAGGUGGUAGUUAAAAGCACUUAGAAACAAAAGAAUUUAAUCCAGAUAGAUGUACGGGGAAUGUAGCAUUUACCAAAAACUUGCUGAUAGUGUCUCCUUCAGUCAUCUCUGAACACCUGGAAUCUUUUCUUCUUAACUAGGAAGGAGAAGAGUAGCAGAUGUUUUUAUGCUUUAAGAGUUGUUGAAGAAACUAAAAAUACCUGAAAGAGAUAAUAAGUGUCCAUAGAUCCACAGAGAGAAGAAGCAGGAGUACAGGGACUA
rnacentral:lncRNA from 1 species